GUUCUUGUAGUUGAAUUACAACUGUGGUUUUUCAAGUCAUCAGUCCAGGUUAAAGUCCUGGUGGGAACC
rnacentral:tRNA from 1 species